GCACAAGCGAUGGAGCAUGUGGUUUAAUUCGAUGCAACGCGAAAAACCUUACCCACCUUUGACAUGGCAGGAAUCCACUAGAGAUAGAGGAGUGCCCGAAAGGGAACCUGCACACAGGUGCUGCAUGGCUGUCGUCAGCUCGUGUCGUGAGAUGUUGGGUUAAGUCCCGCAACGAGCGCAACCCUUGCCAUUAGUUGCUACGCAAGAGCACUCUAAUGGGACUGCCGGUGACAAACCGGAGGAAGGUGGGGAUGACGUCAAGUCCUCAUGGCCCUUAUAGGUGGGGCUACACACGUCAUACAAUGGCUGGUACAAAGGGUUGCCAACCCGCGAGGGGGAGCUAAUCCCAUAAAGCCAGUCGUAGUCCGGAUCGCAGUCUGCAACUCGACUGCGUGAAGUCGGAAUCGCUAGCAAUCGUGGAUCAGAAUGUCACGGUGAAUACGUUCCCGGGC
rnacentral:rRNA from 1 species